rfam:TPA: Bos taurus chromosome 19, whole genome shotgun sequence.
GAGGCUUCAUGACAGGAAGGACUGAAAUGUCUCUUGGACGCCUGGUACUUCCCUGAUGUUCCCAUGGCCGC